UACGAGUGCCCCAAGCGUUAUCCGGAAUCAUUGGGCGUAAAGGGUGUGUAGGCGGUUGUGUUAGUCUUUUGUUAAAGCUCCCGGCUUAACCGGGAAAGUGCAAGAGAUACGGCACAACUAGAGGAUGCGGGAGGUGAACGGAACUCAUAGUGUAGGGGUGAAAUCCGUUGAUAUUAUGGGGAACACCAAAUGCGAAGGCAGUUCACUGGCGCAUUCCUGACGUUGAAACACGAAAGCGUGGGUAGCGAAUGGG
rnacentral:rRNA from 1 species